GGUGGUUCUUGGGUGAUGCGCCCCAAAAUCGGGCUCCCUCCUCUGGUUCUGGGGUUCGUCACCCGAGGACCGCC
rfam:Myotis brandtii contig263169, whole genome shotgun sequence.